CCGAGGGGCGGGCGGCGGCCCGGAGCGCUCGCUGCUGAGGCGCGGGGCGUGCGGGCCCCCGGGGCUGUGCGGAUGGGCCCGCGGCCUCUGGCGCCGGGAGUCUGCGUCCGAGCCUCGGCUCUUCCGCUGCGUGGCCAUGGUAAGGUGCCCAUCCCCAGUUUCUCCAUCUGCAAAGUGCCGCGGCUGACUUCGUGUGAGCUCACGCGUGUGAGCGGCGGCGCGGCCCUGAUGAGAGGCGCAGAGACCCGAGAAAGCGGGCCCUCAAGUAGAGCGCUUGGCCGCAGGCUGGGAGGAGAGGCGGCGGGCGGAGCCGGAGAGGAUUCUGGUCAAUACACUGCUGAGUGUACAAUGAACUCGUGUAUCCUGCAGAAUUUGCAUUGUCAGGAGGAAGGCCUUGCUCAGAGAGAGGAAAAUCAUCCUUCAUUCAAGAGUUUAUGAGUAGCAGCCACUGCUUGAAUUGCCCACAUAACCUCAGCUAACUCAGAUGGUG
rnacentral:lncRNA from 1 species